CAAACCCCACCCAACAAUGAAGAACUGGCCGUCUAAGGAGUUGACAGACAGGCAGGUGCAAGGCGUUGUAAACAACUGAGAUAUAUAUAUAAAAAUACGGAUUACAUUACACAAUACCCUUCGUGUUCCUAGUCUAAUUUCGUCUUGAUCCAUAAGAAACAAACUAUUGGAAAAGGUUUCGUCCUCUGACGUGCUGUUACUGCGAUCUAAAUUGAAGCUUUGUAACGUUAGCCAUAGCUAGUUAGCGUAGCUACCUCUCACAACAGUCAAGAAAGCCUGGGCUCCUAGGGCAGGUUUGACCUCUGUGUGACUUCUGUGACGGAGUGUGUUGGCUACACUGUUAGAGAAUUAACACUCCAGCUGGGAAAAGAGUCUCGCAAGGAAAGGCAGGCAUUAUUGGUACUCUACCUGGCCUGACCACCAGACCCCAGAAUGUUCAGCCCCUCUGCUGCGAUUGGUGGAGGAGGUGGAGGACUACAAAAAGUCCCUCCCACACAACCCUGGACCAAUCAUCGUCCACUGCAGUGCAGGCAUUGGUAGAACGGCUGCUUCAUCGCCAGCUGUAUCGGUUGUCAACAGCUUCGAUACUCCAGGCAGGUGGACAUACUAAGAAUGGUAUGCAGUCUACGUCUGGACAGGGGUGGUAUGGUCCAGACUACUAAGCAGUACCAGUUCCUGUAUGCCACCCUGGCUCAGUACAGCACACAGCUGGAGAUGCAACCCGCCAGACCGCAGGAGGACCAAGGGAACCUGGAGAACCAGGGGAACAAGGAGAGCCAGGGGAGCAAGGAGAGCCAGGGGAGCAAGGAGAGCCAGGGGAGCAAGGAGAG